rnacentral:rRNA from 1 species
UCUGUAGCAAGGUUAACCGUAUAGGGGAGCCGCAGGGAAACCGAGUCUUAACUGGGCGUUAAGUUGCAGGGUAUAGACCCGAAACCCGGUGAUCUAGCCAUGGGCAGGUUGAAGGUUGGGUAACACUAACUGGAGGACCGAACCGACUAAUGUUGAAAAAUUAGCGGAUGACUUGUGGCUGGGGGUGAAAGGCCAAUCAAACCGGGAGAUAGCUGGUUCUCCCCGAAAGCUAUUUAGGUAGCGCCUCGUGAACUCAUCUUCGGGGGUAGAGCACUGUUUCGGCUAGGGGGUCAUCCCGACUUACCAACCCGAUGCAAACUACGAAUACCGAAGAAUGUUAUCACGGGAGACACACGGCGGGUGCUAACGUCCGUCGUGAAGAGGGAAACAACCCAGACCGCCAGCUAAGGUCCCAAAGUCAUGGUUAAGUGGGAAACGAUGUGGGAAGGCACAGACAGCCAGGAUGUUGGCUUAGAAGCAGCCAUCAUUUAAAGAAAGCGUAAUAGCUCACUGGUCGAGUCGGCCUGCGCGGAAGAUGUAACGGGGCUAAACCAUGCACCGAAGCUGCGGCAGCGACACUAUGUGUUGUUGGGUAGGGGAGCGUUCUGUAAGCCUGCGAAGGUGACCUGUGAGGGUUGCUGGAGGUAUCAGAAGUGCGAAUGCUGACAUAAGUAACGAUAAAGCGGGUGAAAAGCCCGCUCGCCGGAAGA